rnacentral:rRNA from 1 species
GAUGAACGCUAGCGGCAGGCCUAACACAUGCAAGUCGAGGGAGGAGCCUUCGGGCUUCGACCGGCGUACGGGUGCGUAACGCGUAUACAAUCUGCCUUUCACAUAGGGAUAGCCCGAAGAAAUUUGGAUUAAUACCUAAUGGUAUAUAGAUGUGGCAUCACCUUUAUAUUAAAGCUGAGGCGGUGAAAGAUGAGUAUGCGUUCUAUUAGCUAGUUGGAGAGGUAACGGCUCCCCAAGGCGACGAUAGAUAGGGGUUCUGAGAGGGAUAUCCCCCACACUGGUACUGAGAUACGGGCCAGACUCCUACGGGAGGCAGCAGUGAGGAAUAUUGGACAAUGGUCGGAAGACUGAUCCAGCCAUGCCGCGUGCAGGAAGACGGCCUUAUGGGUUGUAAACUGCUUUUGCAGGGGAAGAAUAAGGACUACGCGUAGUUUGAUGACGGUACUCUGCGAAUAAGCAUCGGCUAACUCCGUG